rnacentral:tRNA from 1 species
GGCUGAGUGGUCUAGUGGUAUGGUUUUCGCUUCGGGUGCGAGAGAUCCCGAUUUCGAUCACCGGCUCAGCCC